CAAAUUUUCCUCACGUUCCGGGCAUCAUUCCACUGUCUUUACAGAUCCUCCGGGACCCACGUCGCCCCGUGCGUUGGGCUGCAAGAGGCAUCAUUCGCUGUCUCUAUUUUAAUACAUUUCCCAGGAUCUUGCCUCAAUGACCUGGUUACUCCAUGAUCAAGAUAUCCUCCUGACCACUGCAAGCCACAGUCCAGAGGAAUUCACUUCUGACCACCCUUUGUUCACCCUGCUGAGGAAUCAGAUGAAGAAUGACUGCUUCACACUGACAAGUUACCUUUAUCUGGAAAGUCAAAGGUCCUCCUUCCUAUUUAUCUCCUGCUCCUCUUCUUUGCCUUACACUCUUGACCCAUGUCCACAUGAAGUAAUAUUCCUGAAUGAUUCAUGAGCAACACCAUCCAUGUAUUACCAGUCACUCUUGUGUUCUCCCAGGUCCGUCAGUGGACUUGGUAGAGUUCGAUUCCCCAUCAUGAGAUGGAUAAGGAGGACCCAUCUUAUGCUCUGAUUCUCAUGAGGUCUUGAUGGAGGCGAUUCUGUGUGACAAGGGAAAGGAUGAGGCCCAUCUAUUCACAAGAUUGGAUCAUCAGCAGGUGAUAUGACUUGAGCAGUGAAGUUGAAGACUCAGUAGGAAAAUUUCCCUGGGAGAAAUUGGACUCAAGUCUCCUGCAUGGUCAUCUGAUCCAAGAAGCAGUUGAAGGAUGGGUCCUCCAGAGGGCAGGGCUAGAGGGGCAAGAUCCUGGCACCACCCUGUUUCAUCAGACCUGCUGAUCCUCAGGGGACCCAGCUGUGUGAGACUCAGCCUUUCCACCCCAGCAUCCAAGAGACCCCCUUUCUUCUGCCUCACGUUCACUGUCCAGGGACAUAUCCCCUGAAGGGAUGCUAAGGGGAAUGUCCAGGGGAAUCUAGUGCUGGAGGACAUUCACGAACACCAGAGAAUUGGGUGGGCUUGACUCUCUUUUCAGGUCUCUGGGGAAAGGGUGAAGAGGAGGCAGUCGGGGCAGGGCUUUUCCUCCUGCAAACAGUGCAUCCCAGUGGGCUCUGCAGAAGCCUUGGCAUCAGCAAGGGGACACUGCACCCUGCAAACCUAGCUGAGAUUAAGUAGCAUACAGACAACACACUCAGCAGAGGGCAGCAGGCAGGUCUCAGUACCCGCUGACGUGAGCUCUGAAGAUCUCAGGUACCAAGGUCACCUAAGAGGGCCUAAGGAGCCUCCUGGUUUUCCACACCCUCCCCAGUGAGCACUUCCUCCCUUGUCUAGGUGUCUUCCCAGGAUGGCACACCUGGGUCUGUGUUGCAGAAUCCUACACUGACACCUGGAAGGACAGUGAUCUAUGGUCCUGGAGCUCUGGGGCUCAGAAGAGGGCACUGGGCAGUGUCUAGAACCAGGCCACAGAGGAGGAGCCACUUGGCUGCUUUUCCCCUCCCACAUGUAAAAUAGUGUAUACAAUUGUGCACAUUUAAGUUUACUUUGUACAUAUAUUGGUCCUCUACUUAAUGCUGGAUGUUUUUGUAUUAAAUAUUUGCUUGGUACCCAUUGCUUUUAAAACCUUUUCUGUAAAAGAAAACACAUUACAGGAAAACACUCUAAAGAGAGGUAGUGCCCCCCGCCAGUGACCACCACCAUGAUCACUCCCUGCCUCCUGUCCCCCUCAUUUUUCCUUAAUUGAACACAGUAACUUCUGAAGUAGCACUUCCUAGCUGUCCUUGUAUCAGGGUCCUUCUAGGAUUUUGUUCAUUGAAUUCUGUUUGUUCCUCUGGAAGGGAAAAUGGGAACAGGAUCACCCCAGGUCUUCCAUGACACCUGGGAUGUCAGGGCUGUCUCAUCCAUGGCCACCCAUGUCCUUCAUGGAAGAUCUUCAACAUGUGGCUCUGUUUCCUUUAGGGAAAGCUGACUUCUCUCUGAAGGAGUAAAGCUAUUCUGCUUUUCAUUAUCUUUGCGCUUUCAUCCUAGAAGCCCCAAGGGAUUUCUUUUUCUGUAAAGCCCAGGAUUUUACUAGGAUAUCCCUUGGCUUUCAUCAGAAUUCUUUUGAAGAAAUGACUCCAAAGCAUUGUUUCAUUUCAGGAAAAAAAAUUGAAUUACAUUUUUAAUAUUGGCCUUGUAUCUUUGCUUUGUGUUCUGAGACCUUGAACAUUUCUAUAAUCAGAUGUCCUAAGGUGAUUUUUUUUCUCCCCCAUUUUUUUUUUUACCACCUCUUGCUUCAUUUCUUUGGAGAUAUUUUUCUCUCUCUGACCUUCUGUUUCCCAUGAGGCACAGCCCUUCACUGCGCUGCUGCUUCUUUAUAUCUCCUUGUGGAACCUACUUUCCAGUGUUUAUUUCUUCUCUCCUCCCUGGUUUCUAUGCAAGGCUCACAGAUAUGCCACCCCAGUUCUACGUUUGCUGACUCUGGCUUUUCCCAUCCUUUAGUGAGUACUCUCCCUCAUCAAUGCCCUUGUUACUGUCCUUAUCUAAUCUUGAGCUUGAUGUUCCUGUAUUGGAAGAAGACAACUGCUACUCUAUUACCCAAACCAGUAGUCAUUCCCUUUAAGUGGCUACCCAUUUUCUGAAUCCUUAUUUAGUUAUUGUCCAUUAUAAAUGUAACAAAUUACCUCCUUCCCAAAUUAUUAUUUCAUUCUUGUAAUUAUUGUUUUUCAGUUUCUUCAGGUUUAAAUAGUCACAGUAUUUGUCUUGGAUAUUUACCUUUGAGUCAUUUGAUAUUAAUGAGUCAUGAAUUUUCUCAUUCUUUCCAGAGUGAUUUGGUUUGAGCUCUGGGAAUUUAUUUGCAGUGAGUGUGUGGUUUUUAAUUUUCACCCUUUAGAUUUCUCGACAUGCCUGUGCUGGCUUGUUCUCAGCUGGUUCCACAUCUCUCUGGGCCAAUGGCUUUUGCUGUUUUCAGGCAUAGGCAGCAUGCCCACCUUGAUACCUUUUCUAUGUCAUAGCAUGCCCAAGGAUUGUCCUUAAAGCCUUUCCCAUAUUAUCCUAAAAAACCACUCUAUUGAAAUAACCUCUGUAGAAAAAAAAUAUUUUUAAUUUUCUUGACUGAGUUUUUAAAAAUUAUGUGCAUGUACCAAAAAUGUUAGCCAUAUUAUGCUAAGAAUGUCAUUCCACCUUAGAAAUAAAGAAAUCCUGUUAUUUACAACAA